UACGUAGGGGGCAAGCGUUAUCCGGAUUUACUGGGUGUAAAGGGAGCGUAGACGGCGAUGCAAGUCUGAAGUGAAAGGCGGGGGCCCAACCCCCCGGACUGCUUUGGAAACUGUAUGGCUGGAGUGCAGGAGAGGUAAGUGGAAUUCCUAGUGUAGCGGUGAAAUGCGUAGAUAUUAGGAGGAACACCAGUGGCGAAGGCGGCUUACUGGACUGUAACUGACGUUGAGGCUCGAAAGCGUGGGGAGCAAACAGG
rnacentral:rRNA from 1 species